rnacentral:lncRNA from 1 species
CAGCUACUGACUUGGCCUCUUGGAAACAAAGUUAUUUUUCUGUGAUUCACCAGAAACUUUCUGGACCUGAAUACCUCACUUCUCCAAGGUUAAAUUGACUAUUAUGUCAUCAGCAGGUAUUGGGAUGACAAAUAAUCUGGGGCAAUCUCAUGGAUCCUAAGGAGAUCGUUUUCUUGCUUGUGUCUAUUGAUCCUAUUAACAUUAUCUCUUAGGAAAAUCAAUGUUUCAGUCUUACAGGAGAUGCAUAAAUAA